CGUUCCAGCUUCUGACCUAUCAGCUUCUGUCGGUAAGGUAUUGGCUUACCGAGGCUGUGACGGGUAACGGGGAAUUAGGGUUUGAUUCCGGAGAGGGAGCCUGAGAAAUGGCUACCACAUCUAAGGAUGGCAGCAGGCGCGCAAAUUACCCAAUGCCGAUUCGGUGAGGUAGUGACCAGAAAUAACAGCGCAAAGCGAUUGCUUUGUGAUUGUAAUGGACAGAAAAUAAACGUGUUUGUGAUUAACAAUUGGAGGGCAAGUCUGGUGCCAGCAGCCGCGGUAAUUCCAGCUCCAAUAGCGUAUAUUAAGAUUGUUGCAGUUGAAACGUCCGUAGUUGAAUUUCACUCAGAAACCGAG
rnacentral:rRNA from 1 species